rnacentral:rRNA from 1 species
UACGAAGGGGGCUAGCGUUGUUCGGAAUUACUGGGCGUAAAGCGCACGUAGGCGGAUAUUUAAGUCAGGGGUGAAAUCCCGGAGCUCAACUCCGGAACUGCCUUUGAUACUGGGUAUCUUGAGUAUGGAAGAGGUAAGUGGAAUUGCGAGUGUAGAGGUGAAAUCGUAGAUAUUCGCAGGAACACCAGUGGCGAAGGCGGCUUACUGGUCCAUUACUGACGCUGAGGUGCGAAAGCGUGGGGAGCAAACAGG